AGAAGAAGAAAUACCAACUUGACUGGGCUGUUGCUCAACAGUCUAGUCACUAGACUGUUGAGCAACAAGCCCAGUCAAGUUGUUAUUUUUUCUUC
rnacentral:pre_miRNA from 1 species